rnacentral:tRNA from 1 species
AUUUUCCUAGUAUAUAAAUUAGUAUAAGUGACUUCCAAUCACCCGGCCUUGGUUAAACCCCAGGGGAAAAUA